UACGAAGGGGGCUAGCGUUGCUCGGAAUCACUGGGCGUAAAGCGCACGUAGGCGGAUUGUUAAGUCAGGGGUGAAAUCCUGGAGCUCAACUCCAGAACUGCCUUUGAUACUGGCGAUCUCGAGUCCGGGAGAGGUUAGUGGAACUGCGAGUGUAGAGGUGAAAUUCGUAGAUAUUCGCAAGAACACCAGUGGCGAAGGCGGCUCACUGGCCCGGUACUGACGCUGAGGUGCGAAAGCGUGGGGAGCAAACAGG
rnacentral:rRNA from 1 species